rnacentral:rRNA from 1 species
AAGGUGGAUUUGUAAGUAAUUAUUUUUUAUAAUAUUAUUAAAUGAAUGGUGGAAUAACAUGUGUACAUAUUGCCCGUCGCUCUCGUUAUUAUUGAGAUAAGUCGUAACAUAGUUGAUGUACUGGAAAGUGUAUCUUUUUUA